GACGAACGCUGGCGGCGUGCCUAAUACAUGCAAGUCGAGCGGACUGAUUAAGAGCUUGCUCUUAUGACGUUAGCGGCGGACGGGUGAGUAACACGUGGGCAACCUGCCCUGUAGAUCGGGAUAACACCGAGAAAUCGGUGCUAAUACCGGGUAAUAUCUGAGAUCACAUGAUCUUAGGUUAAAAGAUGGCUCCGGCUAUCACUACAGGAUGGGCCCGCGGCGCAUUAGCUAGUUGGUAAGGUAAUGGCUUACCAAGGCGACGAUGCGUAGCCGACCUGAGAGGGUGAUCGGCCACACUGGGACUGAGACACGGCCCAGACUCCUACGGGAGGCAGCAGUAGGGAAUCUUCCGCAAUGGACGAAAGUCUGACGGAGCAACGCCGCGUGAGUGAUGAAGGGUUUCGGCGCGUAAAGCCCUGUUGUUAGGGAAGAAACAGUACCGAACGAACUAGGUCGGUACCUUGACGGUACCUAACCAGAAAGCCACGGCUAACUACGUG
rnacentral:rRNA from 1 species